rnacentral:rRNA from 1 species
CCUACGGGAGGCAGCAGUGGGGAAUAUUGCACAAUGGGCGCAAGCCUGAUGCAGCCAUGCCGCGUGCAUGAAGAAGGCCUUCGGGUUGUAAAGUGCUUUUGUACGGAACGAAAAAGCUUCUCCUAAUACGAGAGGCCCAUGACGGUACCGUAAGAAUAAGCACCGGCUAACUACGUGCCAGCAGCCGCGGUAAUACGUAGGGUGCGAGCGUUAAUCGGAAUUACUGGGCGUAAAGCGUGCGCAGGCGGUUUGCUAAGACCGAUGUGAAAUCCCCGGGCUCAACCUGGGAACUGCAUUGGUGACUGGCAGGCUAGAGUAUGGCAGAGGGGGGUAGAAUUCCACGUGUAGCAGUGAAAUGCGUAGAGAUGUGGAGGAAUACCGAUGGCGAAGGCAGCCCCCUGGGCCAAUACUGACGCUCAUGCACGAAAGCGUGGGGAGCAAACAGGAUUAGAUACCCGGGUAGUC